AAAGAUGUUCAGGAAUUAUUUACUGGUCGUUAAUGCAUCUGGAGAUGAAUGGCCUGUUGCACGAAAGAGAGCUCUAUUUCUUCAUUGUUUGGGCACAGAAGGUCAGAGAUUAUUUUAUACCUUGCCAAAUCAAGGAGAGACGAUGGAGGAUGCUAUUGAGGUUUUACAAGCAUACUUUGUUCCUCGACGGAAUGUAAUUGCAGAACGGCAUGCUUUUAGAAAACGAGCUCAAGUACCUGGUGAAACAGUCCUACAGUAUGUAACCUCACUCCGAGAUUUAGCAGCCACAUGUGAGUUUGGAUCAAAUCUUGAUGAAAUGUUACGUGAUCAAUUAGUAGAAAAUGUGACCAGUCAUCGUAUUAGAGAAAAGUUGUUGUUGGAGACUGACUUGACCCUUAGUAAAGCCAUCACAAAUGCUACUCAAAUUGAAGCUGCUGGUGAACAAGUUAAAAACCAUAUCAGACCGGAAGGUGGUGCCUGUGCAAGCAAUACAAGGAAGGUCUAUAGCAGCUGUUGGUCAGUAUAAAAUUAAAUACUCUGCAUCUACAAAGCCUUCUGUUUCCACUAAAACCUUUAAGGCUUCUAAGAUGACUUCAUCAGUCUGUGCAUGUUAUCGUUGUGGAUCAACAAAACAUCUUGCAAAUGAUUCUAGAUGCCCUGCUGUUUCAGGAAAAUGCCAUAAUUGUCAAAAGAUUGGACAUUUUUCAAGAGUAUGUCAUUCACAACAAACAUGCUUCGUACAUGAAAUUGAAUUGCCUGAACUUCAAAUUUUGUACAUGCAAAAUGUGCUAACUGAUAAGAUUAAGUGUACUGCUACAAUCACAACUGCUUCUGCUUCUGUACCUGUGGAGUUGAUAGUGGAUUCUGAGUCCUCUGUUACCAUUUUGCCAAAAUUUGUGUACGAGACAUAUUUUAAGAAAGACUCCUUGCUGCCUCCUUCUGUUAAAUUGGUGACUUAUUCCCGUGAUCCAAUACCAGUGCUUGGAUGCUUACCUGUUACUGUCACCAAGAAUGAUGUUAACUGCGAGACUUCCAUUUUUAUAGUUGAGUCUGGCACUGCUCUUCUCGGAAUGGAUUUAAUUAAUGGCCUGCAUCUUCACUUUGGAGCAUCUUCUGUUCCGAUAAAAUCUGCUCAACCUCCAGCACAUGUGAUGGGCCUUUCUGCUUCAGUGCCUGUGGAUAAACUGGGAUGUGCAAAAGGUUUCCUGCAUAAGGUAAAGAUCUCUUCCAAUGUUGCACCUGUACGUCAAAAACUCAGACGUUUACCAUUGUCUGUUCGGAAUGCUGUUUCUGAAGAACUUCAAAGUCUUCUUGACCUAGGUGUUAUUGAGAAAGUUGAUGCAUCACCUUGGGUUUCACCAAUUGUUGUAGUGCAGAAAAAAUCAGAAG
rnacentral:lncRNA from 1 species